rnacentral:misc_RNA from 1 species
AACGCACCUUGCACCCUUUGGCAUUCCGAAGGGUAUGCUCGUUUGAGUCUCAUUGUAACCCUCACCCUCCCAAAUCUGUGAUGGAUUUGAGAGCGGUGGACUUGGGUGCUGCUGCUUUACCGCGGCUCACCUUAAAUGUGUUAGUGCAACUCUUGGUUGGACAUAGUACGGCGUGAUAAGUAUCUUCGCCGGCACCUCGCAAGAGGGUGGCCAAGUGGGAGCUCUGUGCUUUCAAACUGUCUUCGGACAAUAUCUGACAACUUGAGCUCAAAUCGAGUAGGACUACCCGCUGAACUUAA